rnacentral:rRNA from 1 species
GAUGAACGCUGGCGGCGUGCCUAAUACAUGCAAGUCGAGCGAACAGACGAGGAGCUUGCUCCUCUGACGUUAGCGGCGGACGGGUGAGUAACACGUGGAUAACCUACCUAUAAGACUGGGAUAACUUCGGGAAACCGGAGCUAAUACCGGAUAAUAUAUUGAACCGCAUGGUUCAAUAGUGAAAGACGGUUUUGCUGUCACUUAUAGAUGGAUCCGCGCCGCAUUAGCUAGUUGGUAAGGUAACGGCUUACCAAGGCAACGAUGCGUAGCCGACCUGAGAGGGUGAUCGGCCACACUGGAACUGAGACACGGUCCAGACUCCUACGGGAGGCAGCAGUAGGGAAUCUUCCGCAAUGGGCGAAAGCCUGACGGAGCAACGCCGCGUGAGUGAUGAAGGUCUUCGGAUCGUAAAACCCUGUUAUCAUGGAAGAACAAAUGUGUAAGUAACUAUGCACGUCUUGACGGUACCUAAUCAGAAAGCCACGGCUAACUACGUG